rnacentral:rRNA from 1 species
GAUGAACGCUAGCGGCAGGCUUAAUACAUGCAAGUCGAGGGGCAGCGCGGGUAGCAAUACCUGGCGGCGACCGGCGCACGGGUGCGUAACGCGUAUGUAAUCUACCUUUAACCGGGGAAUAGCCCAGAGAAAUCUGGAUUAAUGCCCCAUAGUAUUAUUGGAAGGCAUCUUCUGAUAAUUAAAGCUCCGGCGGUUUUAGAUGAACAUGCGUGUCAUUAGUUUGUUGGUGAGGUAACGGCUCACCAAGACUGCGAUGACUAGGGGGUCUGAGAGGAUGAUCCCCCACACUGGUACUGAGACACGGACCAGACUCCUACGGGAGGCAG